rnacentral:rRNA from 1 species
GAUGAACGCUGGCGGCGUGCCUAAUACAUGCAAGUCGAGCGAACAGACGAGGAGCUUGCUCCUUUGACGUAAUCGGCUGACGGGUGAGUAACACAUGCAUAACCUACCUAUAAUCCUGGGAUAACUUCGGGAAACCGGCGCUAAUACCUGCCGAUAUAUUUAACCGCAUGGUUCAAUCGUUAAAGACGGUUUUGCUGUCACUUAUAGAUGUAUCCGCGCCGCAUUAGCUAGUUGGUAAGGUAACGGCUUACAAAGGAAACGAUGCGUAGCCGACCUGAGAGAGGGACCGGCCACCCUGGAAUUGAGACACGGUCCAGACCCCUACGGGAGGAGGCAGUAGGGAACCUUCGGCAAAGGGCGAAAGCCGGACGGAGCAACGCCGCGUGAGUGAUGCAGGUCUUCGGAUCGUAAAACUCUGUUAUUAGGGAAGAACAAAUGUGUAAGUAACUAUGCACGUAUUGACGGUACCUAAUCAGAAAGCCACGGCUAACUACGUG